AUUGAACGCUGGCGGCAUGCUUUACACAUGCAAGUCGAACGGUAACAGGGAGCUUGCUCCGCUGACGAGUGGCGAACGGGUGAGUAAUGCGUCGGAACGUGCCGAGUAGUGGGGGAUAACGCAUCGAAAGGUGUGCUAAUACCGCAUACGUACCGAGGUAGAAAGUGGGGGACCUUCGGGCCUCACGCUAUUCGAGCGGCCGACGUCUGAUUAGCUAGUUGGUGAGGUAAAGGCUCACCAAGGCGACGAUCAGUAGCGGGUCUGAGAGGAUGAUCCGCAACACUGGGACUGAGACACGGCCCAGACUCCUACGGGAGGCAGCAGUGGGGAAUUUUGGACAAUGGGCGCAAGCCUGAUCCAGCCAUGCCGCGUGUCUGAAGAAGGCCUUCGGGUUGUAAAGGACUUUUGUCCGGGAGCAAAUGCCUGGUGUUAAUAGCAUCGGGAGCUGAGAGUACCGGAAGAAUAAGCACCGGCUAACUACGUGCCAGCAGCCGCCGUAAAAC
rnacentral:rRNA from 1 species